rnacentral:rRNA from 1 species
GCGGGGAAUAUUGGACGAUGGGGGCAACCCUGAUCCAGCCAUGCCGCGUGAGUGAUGAAGGCCUUCGGGUUGUAAAGCUCUUUUGGCGGGGACGAUGAUGACGGUACCCGCAGAAUAAGCCCCGGCUAACUUCGUGCCAGCAGCCGCGGUAAUACGUAGGCAGCAAGCGUUGUUCGGAGUUACUGGGCGUAAAGAGUGCGUAGGCGGUUUUCUAAGUUCGGUGUGAAAUCUCCCGGCUUAACUGGGAGGGUGCGCCGAAGACUGGGAAGCUGGAGUGUGGGAAAGGCAGGCGGAAUUCCUGGUGUAGCGGUGAAAUGCGUAGAUAUCAGGAGGAACACCGGCGGUGUAGACGGCUUGCUAGACCAUAACUGACGCUGAGGCACGAAAGCGUGGGUAGCAAACA